AUUGCUUCUCGGCCUUUUGGCUAAGAUCAAGUGUAGAAUUUGGAUCUGUCGGUGCCACCAAAAAGUCACCUGCUGCAGGCUUGGCCACUGGAUCAAUUGCUUAUUGUUUUUUGGAGUGAGACAUUUGAAAUUUAUUUCUCUAGUUAUUUUGAAAUUUAAAAUACGCUGUUAUUGGUAAUGGUCGACCUAUU